rnacentral:rRNA from 1 species
CUCUCUGUGACUCCUACGGGAGGCAGCAGUGGGGAAUAUUGCACAAUGGGGGAAACCCUGAUGCAGCCAUGCCGCGUGUGUGAAGAAGGCCUUCGGGUUGUAAAGCACUUUCAGUAGGGAGGAAGGUAGUGUAGUUAACACCUGCAUUAUUUGACGUUACCUACAGAAGAAGCACCGGCUAACUCCGUGCCAGCAGCCGCGGUAAUACGGAGGGUGCGAGCGUUAAUCGGAAUUACUGGGCGUAAAGCGCAUGCAGGCGGCCUGUUAAGUCAGAUGUGAAAGCCCCGGGGCUUAACCUCGGAAUUGCAUUUGAAACUGGCAGGCUAGAGUCUUGUAGAGGGGGUAGAAUUUCAGGUGUAGCGGUGAAAUGCGUAGAGAUCUGAAGGAAUACCAGUGGCGAAGGCGGCCCCCUGGACAAAGACUGACGCUCAGAUGCGAAAGCGUGGGGAGCAAACAGGAUUAGAUACCCUGUAG